UACGCAGGGGGCUAGCGUUGUUCGGAAUUACUGGGCGUAAAGCGCACGUAGGCGGAUCGAUCAGUCAGGGGUGAAAUCCCAGGGCUCAACCCUGGAACUGCCUUUGAUACUGUCGAUCUGGAGUAUGGAAGAGGUGAGUGGAAUUCCGAGUGUAGAGGUGAAAUUCGUAGAUAUUCGGAGGAACACCAGUGGCGAAGGCGGCUCACUGGUCCAUUACUGACGCUGAGGUGCGAAAGCGUGGGGAGCAAACAGG
rnacentral:rRNA from 1 species